UUUUUUUUUACCAUAUAAACCGCUGUGAAAUAUAUUUUCCAUAACCAAAUAUAUAUCUUAAGAUGUUUGUAGUUGGUGUGCAAAAUUAAGACGCAAAAAACGAAAUUAAGAACAGGAAGCAUAUAAAUAUGUACAUAGAGCAGAUCUAAUUUAAAAUGUAUGUCAAAUAAAAACCAAUGACUGCAGAGUUAAACAAACCAUACAACUCUCUGCACAAGGACUACUUCUACCAAAUUCCACAAAUGUUACUAAAACACAUUUACUUGAACAUUGCAGGUGCAAUGUUUGGUAAUAGAAUGAUGGCACAAACAGUUAGCUAAAUUCGUUUUCUGCAAAUAUUUGGUUUGAAUACCUGCGGUCAUGGGCAGGAUUUGACUAUAAUCUUCCGAAGUGCAUGGAGGUGAGGCCUAACACCCUUUAAUGUUCUAUAGGUAGCCCUUUAUUGGUCAUAGUUGUCUGUUGCCAUGGCAUUCUUCAGAAAAAUGACCUUUUUUUUUGUAAUGAUGAGAAUGUGUUCUGAGCCUGUGACGUCGGGGUAAAGGAGGCUGCCAUAGACGGAGAAAGUUGUAUUUUCUGUGCAAACGUACUAUUCUACUACACUAAUUUUACAUUGGUUAUGUCAUCCUGGCCUGGGGAAGACCGUAUAGUGCACACAGGCUGAAAGUCACACAUUAAUUUGCAUAAACAGACUCCCACCACCAUCCAAUUCUCAGUGACCCAUAUUUAGUGUCACACAGAGACAGACUCUCUCACACACAGUUUAAAUCACAGACACUCUCACACACAGUCUAAAUCAGACAGAGACACAGCCACUGCAUGACUCAUACAUCAUUUCAUAGAGACAAAAUUUGUCAGAAAGCGAUUUAGAGGGGAGGGGAGAGAUCAGCGCAAUUCUGUUUGUGUGUGUGUGUGUGCGAAUCAACGAGCAAUUGAGAGAGAAACCAAUUUAGAAGCCUGUAGGUGGGGGCGAGAAGAGGGAUAGCAGCAGCAAACCAUUGUAUGUUAGAUCGAGAAGCAAACCAUUGUGUUUUAGAUCGAGAGAGAGAGAAGUGAGAGAUGGAGAUGUCUUAUUUUGUAAUAUGCUGUUCGUAGCAGCAGCACAGAGAGGGAGAGAGGUGAAAGAGGGAGACAUGCAACAGAAACAGGAUUCUCAAGGAGGCAAACCCUCAAGCAUCCUGGGAAAGGCGCAUCCAGCUCUCAAGGCCUUCAUGUGUGGCUCCCUCAGCGGUACCUGCUCCACGCUGCUCUUCCAGCCUCUGGACCUGGUCAAGACGCGCCUGCAGACCCUGCAGAACACCAUGAAGCCUGGAGCUCCUAAGGUGGGAAUGAUGACAGUGCUUAUCCAGGUCAUUCGGACAGAGAGCUUCCUGGGCCUGUGGAAGGGAGUGUCACCGUCUUUUGUGCGCUGUAUCCCAGGCGUAGGGAUCUACUUCUCUACCUUCUACUCACUGAAGCAGCACUACUUCCAGGAGGGCCGGGCCCCUAACGCAGGGGAGGCUGUGCUGCUGGGGGCCGGAGCCAGGGCCGUGGCUGGGGUCUGCAUGCUGCCUGUCACCGUCAUCAAGACACGCUUCGAGAGCGGACGGUACAACUACGUGAGCGUCCUGGGAGCUCUGAAGAGCGUGUGUGAGACGGAGGGGCCCAGGGCUCUGUUCUCCGGGCUGACGGCCACACUGCUCCGAGACGCCCCCUUCUCUGGCAUCUACGUCAUGUUCUAUAGCCAGGCCAAAAAGUCCCUGCCACCGGGUCUGACCAUUCUCUGUGUGGUCUCUUCUCUCAGAGGUGAGCUCGUCACCCUAUGCCCCAUUGGGGAACUUUGGCUGUGGGGUGAUGGCCGGAGUCCUAGCCUCUGUGGUCACCCAGCCAGCUGACGUGGUCAAGACUCACAUCCAGGUCAGCCCCUCCCACUGGACCACCAAGGACGCCAUUCGCUACAUCUAUACGGAGCAUGGUCUGAGGGGUUUCUUCCGUGGGGCUGUGCCACGCUCUCUGAGGAGGACUCUGAUGGCAGCCAUGGCCUGGACCGUCUAUGAACAGCUGAUGGCCCGCAUGGGACUCAAGUCCUGAGGAGAGAAGACAGGGAGGAACUGAUAAAGGAGGAAUAUGGGGACUUGUUUUUAUACAAAGCAGCAGUAUGAAGUAGAAGAAAGAGAGGAGGAUGAGAAGGAGUGAAGGAGGAGGGAGAGAGGAGGUGUUUAUCACUGCAACUAGCUUGGGAAAGAAAGAGGUGGGUGUCUGUGGCAUGGAAGAGUGUGUGUGUGUUUUACACGUUGAUGUUUAUGAGUUAUUGUGAAUGUUUGAUGUAUGUCCUUACAUUGUCAAACCUGACCUUAAAUGACAUCCCCUUUUGCUGAGAACUGAACUGAUCCCUCUCUGACUGGGGAGAGCCUAGAGAACUAUCUAUUUCUAUGGGGGAGACCAUAGGAAUGUAUUUAAUAUAUUUAUAUGGGGGAGACCCUCUCUGACUGGGGAGACCAUAGAGAAUGAUCUAUUUCUAUGGGGGAGAACUUCAGACUGGGGAGACCAUAGAUAAUUAUCUAUUUAUAUUGGGGAGACCCUCUCAGACUGGGGAGACCAUAGAGAAUGAUCUAAUUAUAUUUCUAUGAGGGAGACUGCCUGGGGAGACCAUAGAGAAUGAUCUAAUUAUAUUUCUAUGGGGGAGAACCUCAGACUGGGGAGACCAUAGAUAAUUAUCUAUUUAUAUUGGGGAGACCCUCUCAGACUGGAGAGACCACAGAGAAUGAUCUAAUUAUAUUUCUAUGAGGGAGACUCUGCCUGGGGAGACUAUAGAGAAUGAUCGAAUUAUAUUUCUAUGGGGGAGACCCUCUCAGACUGGGGAGACCAUAGAGAAUGAUCUAAUUAUAUUUCUAUGAGGGAGACUCUGCCUGGAGAGACCAUAGAGAAUGAUCUAAUUAUAUUUCUAUGAGGGAGACCAUAGAGAAUGAUCUAAUUAUAUUUCUAUGAGGGAGACUCUGCCUGGGGAGACCAUAGAGAAUGAUCUAAUUAUAUGUCUAUGGGGGAGACCUUCAGACUAUAACCACUGUGGUUUAGCUCUGGAUACCACUCCAGUGACAGAGACUGUCGCCGACUGUCACCCACUACCACUGUCUAUGACUAUGAAUGACUGGGACCAACAUCUAGGUGUCUCUAACACUCCCAAGACGAAACAGCAGCUUUGAUUGAAUUAGCUCAGCAAGAGGUUAUCCGCUGGCUAAACGUGUAGUGGACUGGACAAAGCUACCCAGUGCCAUAACCACGCAACAUAUUUACAAAUGACCGGCAGAAUACAUUAUAACAGCACAGUGAUUAUUGUGACCUGUCGACUGACUGAAGGAAAUACUAUAUUUAUUGACUGACUAAAAUAUUUCUUACUAGCUUGGACAAUCAAGACAAUAUUGCUGUGCAUUGUAGCAAAAGACUAGGCUGAUACUUUCUAUACUGCAACUGCACAAUUAGCUACUAGCAACUUGGCAUUGGCAUACUUAGCCAUUUUAAAAUAGUGUACAGCAGGUGUUCUCUAUACCCAAUUCAACUGGGAUCUCAUUUCUAGUGCAUUCCAUUCUGGUUGCAGUGUUGUAGACCGGAUGUGCUUUAUCUAACCAGUAAUGAUAGUCAAUCCCAGAGUCAUAGAUGGAUAAUUGAUUCUAGUCAAUGCCAUUGGAACCCAGACAAUGCAACUCUGGCCCCCAUUGUGCUGUAGCAUUGUGAGACAAUAGUCAACAUCACGAUCAUGAACAUGCAGCUUCAGCAUCACUGUAUUACAUGGGCCGGAUUCAGUAGUCACAAAAAGAAAGCAAACCGGGGGGACGAGCUUAUCUUGUCCUAAAUGACAUGUAAAAUGUUUUUGUUUUUCAAUGCAAAAUAUUUUGCUACGGUGUGCACUAAUGUACACUACCCAGCUAAAUAUAGGAAUCCAUAUCAGUGAUGCCUCUUAUUAGUUUUUUAAAUUAAUAGGCCCAUGUAUUCAGCAUUUUGAGUAGUUCAUUUUUGGAAGCCCAUACACGUGUAUAUUUUUUAACCCACAGUGUCCAGUGUGCCAUGUCAUAGGUAUUAUUUUUUGAACAUGCCAGUUUUAAAGACAAUUAUUAUUGUUAUAUUUAAAAGUAUUGUUAGAGAUUCAAAAUAUACACUAAGUGAGCGCUACUCAGUAUUAGGAGGGUGUUCUUAAUGUUUGGAAUACUCAGUCUAUAGAGCCUGAAGCUUUGAGGACCAGAGAUGGCUGAGAGAAACUGAUUUAAAUCCAGUAUCAUCACUACAAUCACUGUUUGCCAGCUGUUUUUGCGUUUUACACACACAAAUGUAAAGGACAAAACAGCUUCAAUAUACACUGUGGCCAGUUUAUUAGGUAUAUCCAACUAGUACCGGGUCGAACCCCCUUUGCUUCCAGAACAACCUGAAUUCUUUGGGGCGUGGAAACGUUGCUCAAUUGCUAUCAAGGGACCUAAACGUGCGCCAGGAAAACUUUACCCACACCAUGACACCAAACGCCACCAGCCUGGAUGGGGCAAUGGACUCCUGCUGUUUAUGCCAAAUCCUGACUGCCAUCCGUAUGAAGCAACAGGAACCUGGAUUCGCCAGACCAGGCAAUGUUUUUCCACUCCUCAGUUGUCCAGUGUUGGAGAUCACGUGUCCACUGGAAGCGCUUGUUUAUAACUUAUAGGACCGGACCCCGGUGUGGUUGUCUGUUGCAAUAGGCCAUCCUAGACUAGGAUAGAUGAGUUGCGCAUCUCGAAAUGCCGUUCCCCCCCAUUAUUUGCCUGUUUGUGGCCCUCCUGUUAGCUUGCACAAUUCUUGCCAUUCUCCUUUGACCUCUCAUUAACAAGCUGUUUUCACUCACAGGACGGCCGCUUACAGGAUGUUUUUUGUUUGUGGCACCAUUCUCUGUAAACCCUAGACACUGACGUGAGUGAAAAGCCCAGGAGACCGACCGUUUCCGAGAUACUGGAACCGGCGCGCCUGGCAGCAACGAUCAUACCACACUCAAAGUUGCGUAGGUUACUCAUUUUUCUCAUUCUAACGUUCAAUCGACUGGUAACGAAAUGCCUUGAUGCCUGUCUGCCUGAUUUUUAUAGCAAGCCAUGGCCACGUGACUCACUGUCUGUAGGAGCGAACCAUUUUUGUGAAUGGACCUAAUAAACUGGCCGCUGAGUAGUUUGAGUCAUUGAGAGGGGAAACACUGAGUUAACCCUAGCUCAAUGCCAGUCAGUGACUACACUUUUCAACGCAUAUUUAUUCAUUCAUUCAAGCCCCUUAGCAGCGGCUGGUAAAAGGACUGGGGUGAUUGACGUUUCUUGAGAAUUGGUAGCUCUUCAGCCCUUGUUUGUGUUGUCGUUACACCAAGUUGUUUUGUGCCAUAACAUUCUUACCAUGGCGAUUAUCAUCGCUAUCACUAUUGUCCUUGAUAUUGUGACUUUACACUGUAUAUUGUCUGUUAUUAUUGUCAAUAUUUUGUCUGUGUGUGUGAGUUUGCUCAGACCGAUGUUGUGCCUGUUUUGUUUUUAAGUGAAUAAAAUUCCCCCCAUUUUUGUACAA